rnacentral:rRNA from 1 species
GAUGAACGCUGGCGGCGUGCCUAAUACAUGCAAGUCGAGCGAACAGACGAGGAGCUUGCUCCUCUGACGUUAGCGGCGGACGGGUGAGUAACACGUGGAUAACCUACCUAUAAGACUGGGAUAACUUCGGGAAACCGGUGCUAAUACCGGAUAAUAUAUUGAACCGCAUGGUUCUAUAGUGAAAGACGGUUUUGCGGUCACAUGUAGAUGGAUCCGCGCCGCAUUAGCUAGGUGGUAAGGUAACGGCUUACCAAGGCGACGAUGCGUGGCCGACCGGAGAGGGUGAUCCGCCCCCCUGGAACUGAGACACGGUCCAGACUCCUACGGGAGGCAGCAGUAGGGAAGCUUCCGCAAUGGGCGAAAGCCUGACGGAGCAACGCCGCGGGAGUGAUGAAGGUCUUCGGAUCGUAAAACUCUGUUAUUAGGGAAGAACAAAUGUGUAAGUAACUAUGCACGUCUUGACGGUACCUAAUCAGAAAGCCACGGCUAACUACGUG